GCCCUCAGCUGUAAAUGGGGAUUAUCCCAGGACCUACUUGACAGAGCUGAGGAGACUGAAUGACUGAAAAUAUGUCUAACCUUGAGAACAGUGCCUGUCACACAGUCGGCACUAUAUAACUAUCAUCUUUCCAGUUAAUCAGGCCCCAAACUCAAGAAUCAUUUGGGAUUCCUCCUUCCCCUCAUUCUAGCAUCUUGAGCCACCGGCAAAUGCAGAGUCGGUCUGUUUCCCAACCCCCGCACCGCUGCCCCAGCCCAGGUAUAUGCCCUGCUAGGACGGCUGCAGUAGCCUCGCUGUGGUCUCCCUGCCUCCGUUCUUGUCUGCCUCCAGCCCGGCAUCCUCACACCAGCAAGCCAAACUUCUUGAAAUGAAAAUCGGAUGAUAUGACUCCUCUGUUGGGGUUUAGGAUAAAACCCGAACUCCUUACUAUGGACUACGAGGCCCUACAGAAUCUUCCACUAGAAAAGACAUGGAAGUGUAAACAAUAAAGUUGUUUUGGCCAUUGGAUUAGAAAAGAUUUUAAAAAUAAGAAUAACACCCAGCGUGUGUGUGUGUGUGUGUGUGUGUGUGUGUGAGGGUGGAGUGAAACUUUACUCUUAGCCUCGGAACCUCCUGUUGGUCCAGCAUUUUGAGGGAAGAGAAUGUUUCAAGAAGGAAGGUGGCCUUUGGGCCAAAGGCUACUGAAAGAUCAAGUAAAGUGAGGACAGAGAGCUGACUGUAGCUUUGGCCAGAAUGGUUCCAGGGGAGUGAUGAGUAGGGCAGCCAUAUUGCAAAAGAAGGCAGAGAUUGAACCCGGUGAGUGGCAAUAACAGAGAGAGAGGUUGGUGGAGAGAGAGAGAGAGAGAGAGAGAUGCACAGUGAGGAGACACGAGCCUAAGGAAAACUCUGGAAGAAGCAGAGAGCUCUCUGGGGUGGGAGGGGCGCUGGCUGGCACCUUUUGGUCCUGAAAGCCCAGCUGAGGAGCCAGUAGGCAGCAGGAAGUCGGAGAGAAGGAACUUCAGGAAGCCUGAUAUUUGCUAAAUGUCCCAAGGGGAUGGGGCCCAGCUUAAAACUCAUUAGAAAAAAAACACAGCAAAGCGCCUGAGUUUGAGGAGUUUGGUUCUCCGUGGCAAUUCCUGCUGGAGCCUUCUUAAUUUCCUUGACAACCGAGGGUCACCGACGAUGGGCACGUCCUCUUCUGGGGCCCGGCUGUAAGGGGCGGAGUCCAAACUCUUCAGAUUCCCUGCCCCAUGCCUGGCUCUCCAACCCCACUCCUCACCUCGCUUGUGGCCCACCGCGCCCCAGCCAAGCCCAGCUACACAAGUAACCUAAGCCAGCUGCCUUCUGCCUGCCGGACUUCGCCCAGGACCAUGGCCCUUCCCCGGAGCUCUCCUCAACUAACUGUACGCCUCCCUCAUGUUCCCAUCCUAUCUGCCUUUCAGCAAUAAGCUCAGUUAAGAACCCC